rnacentral:rRNA from 1 species
UGGGGAAUUUUGGACAAUGGGCGCAAGCCUGAUCCAGCCAUGCCGCGUGAGUGAUAAAGGCCUUAGGGUUGUAAAGCUCUUUUGGCGGGGAAGAUGAUGACGGUACCCGCAGAAUAAGCACCGGCUAACUUCGUGCCAGCAGCCGCGGUAAUACGAAGGGUGCUAGCGUUGUUCGGAAUCACUGGGCGUAAAGCGCGCGUAGGCGGCGUUGUAAGUCAGAGGUGAAACGCCAAGGCUCAACCUUGGAACUGCCUUUGAAACUGCAACGCUGGAGUAUUGGAGGGGAGCGGGGAAUUGCUAAUGUAGAGGUGAAAUUCGUAGAUAUUAGCAGGAACACCGGUGGCGAAGGCGCCGCUCUGGACAAUGACUGACGCUGAGGCGUGAAAGCGUGGGGAUCAAA